CGCUGCUGCUCCUUUAUACUUGUUAUGUGAUCAAGCUCUAUGUGACUAGUGAAAACCGUAUCCCAAUAUUUGUUAAUUAUAUUACAUUCGUAUUUAAAGUUCGAUCAAAUCAAAUGGUAAUUUUGUUAUGCCUGCUGCCAAAUCCAAAAACUCUUAGCAACUUGUCACUUAGAGAUUCCAUCAUGCUUUUCUAUUGCUCAUUAGGAGUAGCUCGUUAAACUAAAAUCGAAAAGGAUGCUGACUUGCAAUCUUCUUGUCAUUUCCACUGAGCCGGUCAAGUGGCAUGAUUUAGUUUUGAGGGUUGAGCUCGUAAACUGAAAGUGCAAAGGAUGCUGGCUCUGAAGGAAGAUCAUUCUUGACCCACUCAUCUUGUAUCAGCAGUCUUCUUUUAUUUCUACUCUGAUGGCCAACACACAUAGAUGUGAACCUCAGAACUACUACUCCUUGGACUGCCAACCCAACGUGUCUAAAAAAAAUUGCCGGCCCUACAAUUUUGACAACAGGCGUAUGUAAAAAAAAGCCCCUUCUUCACCUCGCCCGUCAUCGCUUUGCCCGUCACCGAAUCGCCCGUCAUCGCUUUGCCCGUCAUCGCUUUGCCCGUCGUCGAAUCGCCCGUCAUCGCUUUGCCCGUCGCCGAAUCGCCCGUCAUCGCUUUGCCCGUCGCCGAAUCGCCCGUCAUCACUCUGCCCGUCGCCCCAUCUUCCCCUCGCCCGGUCACCCCGUCGUCGCAUCGUGGUCGCCCGGUCGCCCCGUCUUCGCCUCGUGGUCGCCCCGUCAUCGUGGUAUCAUUGUUUUAUGUAAUGUGUGUGUGUGUUAAGUGUAGUGCUAAUUAACCCGUUGGCUGCCACCCACUUUGAUCCCCCUUUUUUUAGCUUGUUAGGGUCCGGCAGCGCUGUUCUGCCCAAUGGUCUAUAUGCCAUGGGUGGGACAGUUGCACAAGCCGUGUGGCUCAAAGUCGAUCGUCGAGGCAAUGCACCAUUAGGAACUCCCCCCUUGUCGAUGCGGUGAUGGUUGCCUGGGGUGUGCAUUCCCGUAAUGGCUUCCAUCAUCGUGUCAGCCCGGACUUGUCUUCGGACAAGUCCCCCUUGGUCGCGAUCUUUCUGAUGGCGAUGUAGCUAGCGUAGUAUGUAGUGGCGUGGCAGCCAACGGGUUAGUUGUAUUUGUGUAUGUAUGUAUUGUAUAUUAUGUUGUAUUGUAUUAUGCUGUAAACCAAGUGGUGGAAUUGUGGGUGGAUGGAGGGACAAUAAAAGCUUUUUACAUCUA